rnacentral:misc_RNA from 1 species
AAGCUUGCGGGGGAACACGUGCUGGAGCAACGUCGAUGGAGCUCCACACGCACCCGUACAUGCAUACGAACACGAAAGCGCGCACACACGCACACCCUGCUCAUAGCAUCGGGCCACGUUUUCAUCUGCUCCGCUGUCACCACCGCCCCCGCCACUUAUAGGCCUGCUGGCGGUGCUGCUACAACCGUUUGGCGGCACGGGACCAGCCCUCUCUCGACCCUCGCUGAGCUCACCCGCCUCUUUGAGAGCGUAUGUAUAUUUUCUCUAGAGUUGUUGCCGGCUCCACGAUCGCGAUUACCGCAACCAUCGAGCCUCCUUGCUUGCUUCCCAGACAGCGCGCCAUGAUCCAGCCUCAGAGCACCCUGUUCCGCCGCCGCGAGGGCGGCGUCGGGGAUGAUGACGCACUUACCUCACCGUCCUCCUCCCCUGCCCCUUACCAGACGCGCCCCGGUACAGCAGCUGCCGCUUCAGUGCACACGAACGCCUUGCAGGAGCAGGAGAACGACGCUCUUAUGCAGGCGCUGCUGUCUGACAUGCGCAGGGCAAAGAAGAGCUUCACCAAGAUGGGCGAUGAGGUGCGAGAGCAGAACGCGCUGCUGGAGCGACUGCGCACCUCCUUCCUGAAUACGCAGAACUCCCUUCGCAAAACGAUGCGGAACUUAGACAAGAUAGGCUGGGGAAGCUUCACGCACAUGUGGGUGCUGGCGCUCUUCGUGAUUGUGUUUUUCAUGUUGCUCUACUUGAUGCUUCGCUUUCGGUAGUUCACACACUGUCAGACAGGAAAAACCGUCUCCUGUGAACAUGCUUGCGGCAGGAGGGACCGCUGUGCGCGUGUGCGCGCGUGUGUCCCUGCGAGCUGCUGUGUGGAGGCUUGGUGAGGAUUUCAGCGUCCCAUUCUUUUCGGUUUGUUGGGGUGUGCGCUCGCCUUUUCCCUCUCUGUGCGCUCUGUUGCUUUGACGGCGUAAAGUGGGGCGGCUGCUCCGCUGCGCACACACACACACACACACAGAGGCACCAUCCGGUGGAAGGAACAGCCGCGCAAGCGGGCAGGCUGGGGCCCAGGUGGAUGUGCGUUUGCAUCCCUGAACCGUGCACGUGCGCAACGAC